UACGUAGGUGACAAGCGUUGUCCGGAUUUAUUGGGCGUAAAGCGCUCGCAGGCGGUCCGAUGCGUCGUGCGUGAAAGACCCCGGCUCAACUGGGGAGGGUCGUGCGAUACGGUCGGACUCGAGGCCAGUAGGGGGACGCGGAAUUCCGGGUGUAGUGGUGGAAUGCGUAGAGAUCCGGAGGAACACCAGCGGCGAAGGCGGCGUCCUGGACUGGUACUGACGCUCAGGAGCGAAAGCGUGGGGAGCGAGCCGG
rnacentral:rRNA from 1 species